GAAAAACAACAGGGAUUGCCUCAGUAACGGCGAGUGAAGCGGCAACAGCUCAAAUUUGAAAUCUGGCUCCCGCGCGGGGUCCGAGUUGUAAUUUGUAGAGGGUGUUUCGGGCGCGGUGCCGGUCUAAGUCCCUUGGAACGGGGCGUCGUAGAGGGUGAGAAUCCCGUAUGCGACCGGCGGCCAACCCCAUGUGAAACCCCUUCGACGAGUCGAGUUGUUUGGGAAUGCAGCUCAAAACGGGUGGUAAAUUUCAUCUAAAGCUAAAUACCGGCCAGAGACCGAUAGCGCACAAGUAGAGUGAUCGAAAGAUGAAAAGCACUUUGGAAAGAGAGUCAAAAAGUACGUGAAAUUGUUGAAAGGGAAGCGCUUGCGACCAGACCUGCCCGCGGGUGAUCAGCCGUCCCUUCGGGGGCGGCGCACGCGCCCGCGAUCAGGCCAGCAUCGGUUCGGGCGGCCGGACAAAGGCCUCGGGAACGUAGCUCCCCUCGGGGAGUGUUAUAGCCCGGGGCGCCAUGCGGCCCGCCUGGACCGAGGACCGCGCUCCGGCAAGGAUGCUGGCGUAAUGGUCGUAAGCGGCCCGUCUUGAAACACGGACCAAGGAGUCUAACAUCCAUGCGAGUGUUUGGGCGUCAAACCCAGGCGCGCAAUGAAAGUGAACGGAGGUGGGACCCCCCCGAGGGCGCACCAUCGACCGAUCCAGAUGUCUUCGGAUGGAUUUGAGUACGAGCAUGGCUGUUGGGACCCGAAAGAUGGUGAACUAUGCCUGAAUAGGGUGAAGCCAGAGGAAACUCUGGUGGAGGCUCGCAGCGGUUCUGACGUGCAAAUCGAUCGUCAAAUUUGGGUAUAGGGGCGAAAGACUAAUCGAACCAUUUAGUAGCUGGUUCCAGCCGAAGUUCCCCUCAGGAAACCAGUCUU
rnacentral:rRNA from 1 species